GUUAAGCGAGCAGUGUGUUAAGAAGCAAUAUGGCUUGGCAGGGUCUCGUUUUGGAGGACGCAUGGCUCUCGACCAUCGCCUCUCCCGAGUCCGUACGGGAGUUGCGGUGAUGGGACAAGAUUGUAACUACCAAUUGGAUAUCACGAAAUUUGGGAGAACAAGCGGUAAAAAAAAUCCUAACCUAAAGUAGGGAAAUAGAACCUGCGAGAAGAGCUCGGUGGCUUCAGGCUAUUCAGCGUGGGAGAGUGAAAAAUGUGGUGACCCGGUGCUACAGCGUAGUUAUGUGUAGAAAACAUUUAAUCACAGGUCCUCACUUUGCAGCAGUCAACCAUAACAAUGAGAUAAUUGUUACAGACUUCCAUAAUCAUUCUGUGAAGACACUUCCAGAACAAAGGAAACCUACUUACAACUACUAAGGAAAUGGUGACCUCUGGUGGACAACCAGAGGCUUACACAACGAGACUUUCUGUCGAACUAUUCACCACAGACUGAUCGGCGAGUUCAACAGAGAGAGACAACAAAGACAUACAAGCGUAAAUAUAUACAUUGCAUUUCUAAAUCCGAAUGAGCGGUUGUUAGGGUGCCAAAUAUCCAUAUUUACGAUGAGCGUAUUAUUCAACUGUAUGUACGAUAGUUGAAUUAUUUUGUCUCUCCUUCUCCCCUCACCACUUUCAUUGGGUAACCAGCAAUCAUAUCGGGGUUAGUCCACUAGGGACUUUUCAUUGCAUUAUGUAAUAAUCAGUGUAUAAUCUAUCCUGUGUAUGUAAUUCUGUGUGAUUAUUUAGUUAGUUAGUAAAUAAAUAAUUCAGCCAAUUUGUGUAUCACUGAGUCAUCAUGUAGACUAGGGUUCGUGCAAAUAUAACGGAUUAUGCAACGUUCAGAAUGAGACUGAUAUGAGGUAAUAAUAAUUAAUGAAUGACUAAGAGAUGAUAUAUUCUGAUAUUCUUGAGUUUAUUCGGGAAACAAAAACUCAU